UACCUGAAAUCACAUUAAUAGCGAACUCGAUUUCUCGAUCUAGUGGUAAGCCUGGGAGAUCUUUUGGAAAAACAUCAAAAAAAUACUUUACCACAGGUAUCUGUUGUAGGUUUACUUCUUCUUCUUUGUUCUCUAUUACAUAUGCGAGAUAUCUUACACAUCAUUUCUCUAAUAAUCGAUGCACUUAAACACAAGAAAUCGAACAUGGAUGCUGAGACUUCGUCAAGCGUUUAAACUCGAAUGCUUUGUCAUUUAGAAUAUUACAUGUCCCCAUUUUUCCAUGCAGUCUAAAUUUGCAUGAUCUGGCGCAACCCAGUCCAUU
rnacentral:lncRNA from 1 species